rnacentral:rRNA from 1 species
UACAGAGGUCCCAAGCGUUGUUCGGAUUCACUGGGCGUAAAGGGUGCGUAGGUGGCGGGGCAAGUUUGAUGUGAAAUCUCCGGGCUUAACCCGGAAAUGGCAUUGAAUACUAUUCCGCUUGGAGGGUUGGAGGGGGGACUGGAAUUCUCGGUGUAGCAGUGAAAUGCGUAGAUAUGACAUAGAACACCGAUAGCGAAGGCAGCUUGCUACACAAUCAUUGACACUGAGGCACGAAAGCGUGGGGAUCAAACAGG